rnacentral:rRNA from 1 species
CCCUUAGAUGUUCUGGGCUGCACGCGUGCUACAAUGGCGUUUCCAGCAAGUCUGCGAACCCGAGAGGGCCAGCGGAUCUUCGAAUUGGCGUCGUGAUCGGGACAGUCGAUUGCAAUUAUUUGACUCAAACGAGGAAUUCCUUGUAAUCGCGAUUCAUCAUAUCGCGCUGAAUACGUCCCUGCCCUUUGUACACACCGCCCGUCGCUCCUACCGAUUGAGCGAUCCGGUAAAUGUUUUGGAUUGGUGCCGGGGCGGCUAGCUGCCGGUCGCUACGAAAUUUUGUGAACCUUAUCACUUAGAGGAAGGAGAAGUCGUAACA